CCAGGGCAGCUGAGAGCAAGGACUGAAUCUAAAGCUAGCUUCCAGCAUGGCAUGGCCGUGUUUGCUAUGGGUGCUCUUGGUUUCCACUUCCCUUGGAACCAGCAUGGCUCAGACAGUCUCUCAGCCUCAGCGGGAAAGGUCUGUGCAGGAGACACAGUCCGCAACCCUGGACUGCACCUACGACACGAGUGAUACUAAUUACUACCUGUUCUGGUACAAACAGCAAAGAAGGCAGGUGACUCUCGUUAUCCGCCAAGAAGCUUACAAGCAACAUAAUGCAACGGAGAGCCGCUUCUCUGUGAACUUCCAGAAAGCAGCUAAGUCCUUCAGCCUGGAGAUCUCAGACUCGCAGCCGGGGGAUGCUGCCACGUAUUUCUGUGCACUUAUGGAGCGCCACAGUGACACAGGGUACAGAGAGGGGCUAACAGAAACCUCAGAUCUCAGCAUCUGUGAGAAAUGGCAGGAAGUGGCUGGGGUACCAGCGGCAUACAUUAAAGAACUGUCUUUUCUCUAGAGGAGAAAGUCCUCAUAUGCAACUGUAGGAAACACAGAGGUAAAUCAGUAAACUGCAGUUCUCAAAACAAUCAUAAAAUGCAGGGAAUGUAAACAGCUUUACAGUUUUGCAAGGUGUGUCCACAUGUAUUAUUUCAACGUCUAUCAAAACUCAUGUGCAUACAAUGGGUCAGACAUUUCACUGUGAACCAGCAGACCCCCGAGCUUGACCUAAAGUCAUCUGAAAAUUCUGUCCAAGUUUUUAAAUUUAAUUAUUCUAAAAACUACGUGUAUUCAUUACUUACCUGUUGCUAUGAUAAAACACCACGGCCAAGGCAACUUAGAGAAAAAGAAAGUUCGUGUGUGUGUAUGGCUCAAGAAGGAUGGGCUCAUCAUGGCCGAAACAGCACAGCAGCAGGUGGCGUGAAUGGAAGCUGCUGAGAAUUGGAAGUUCACAUCCCAACCAUGGACGUGAAGAGAGAAAACUAACUGGGAGUGGGGUAAGGCGUUACACAACCGAAGCCUGUCUCUUGUGCCGUAUUCCAUCCAGUAUCUCCUAAGUCUCUUUAAAUAUUGUCACCAUCUGGGGACCAAGUAUUCAAAUACUUGAGACCAGGGGGACAUUGCUCACUCAAAUCAGUACAUAACCAAUUUUAUGUGCAUAUUCCACAAUU